GCCAGUGUAGUGUAGUGGUUUGAGUGUUAGAUAAUGACUCUGUAGAUCAGGGUUCAAAUCCCUGUUUGGCC